rnacentral:rRNA from 1 species
AGUCAAUAGAUACCCAGGUAGUCCAUGCCGUAAACGAUGAUUGCUAGGUGUGGGGGGUCUGACCCCUUCCGUGCCGGAGUUAAACACAAUAAGCAAUCCACCUGGGGAGUACGGCCGCAAGGUUGAAACUCAAAGGAAUUGACGGGGGCCCGCACAAGCAGUGGAGUAUGUGGUUUAAAUUCGAAGCAACGCGAAGAACCUUACCAGGUCUUGACAUCCACCGAAUCCUGUAGAGAUACGGGAGUGCCCUUCGGGGAACGGUGAGACAGGUGGUGCAUGGUUGUCGUCAGCUCGUGUCGUGAGAUGUUGGGUUAAGUCCCGCAACGAGCGCAACCCUUGUGAAUAGUUGCUACGAAAGAGCACUCUAUUCAGACCGCCGUUGACAAAACGGAGGAAGGUGGGGACGACGUCAAAUCAUCAUGCCCCUUAUGACCUGGGCUACACACGUACUACAAUGGCCGUUAACAGAGGGAUGCAAUGCCGCGAGGUGGAGCGAACCCCUAAAAACGGUCUCAGUUCAGAUUGCAGGCUGAAACUCG